rfam:Triticum aestivum genome assembly, contig: Triticum_aestivum_CS42_TGACv1_scaffold_514963_6BS
UACGUACUCCCUCUAUCCGGAAAUACUUGUCAUCAAAAUAGACAAAAAUGAAUGUAUUUAGAACUAAAAUACAUCUAGAUACAUCCUCUUUUAUUCAUUUUAAUGACAAGUAUUUUCAGACGGAGGGAGUAGGAG